GCCAAAUGAUGUAAAUUCAGAUCCGUGAAUCUUUGGUAAUGACGACUUUCAUCUAUCACCCUAUAACUGAUGGCU